GAGUUUGAUCCUGGCUCAGGAUGAACGCUGGCGGCGUGCCUAAUACAUGCAAGUCGAACGCUUUGUGAUUCAACUGAUUUGAAGAGCUUGCUCAGAUAUGACGAUGGACAUUGCAAAGAGUGGCGAACGGGUGAGUAACACGUGGGAAACCUACCUCUUAGCAGGGGAUAACAUUUGGAAACAGAUGCUAAUACCGUAUAACAAUGACAACCGCAUGGUUGUUAUUUAAAAGAUGGUUCUGCUAUCACUAAGAGAUGGUCCCGCGGUGCAUUAGCUAGUUGGUAAGGUAAUGGCUUACCAAGGCGAUGAUGCAUAGCCGAGUUGAGAGACUGAUCGGCCACAAUGGGACUGAGACACGGCCCAUACUCCUACGGGAGGCAGCAGUAGGGAAUCUUCCACAAUGGGCGAAAGCCUGAUGGAGCAACGCCGCGUGUGUGAUGAAGGGUUUCGGCUCGUAAAACACUGUUGUAAGAGAAGAAUGACAUUGAGAGUAACUGUUCAAUGUGUGACGGUAUCUUACCAGAAAGGAACGGCUAAAUACGUGCCAGCAGCCGCGGUAAUA
rnacentral:rRNA from 1 species